GUCCGGGUGGCGGAAUAGGCAGACGCGCUAGCUUGAGGUGCUAGUGCCCUUUAUCGGGCGUGGGGGUUCAAGUCCCCCCUCGGACA
rnacentral:tRNA from 5 species